rnacentral:lncRNA from 1 species
GACAAAUGAAAAGUAAUUUUAUUUUUGUUUAACCUUAAACUUACCAAACUGCUUCUUUCUUUGAACAGCAGUUAUCUUCUGUUUGAUAUCCAACUGCACUUACACUGAAAAGUAGUGAAAACUACUUAACGAUUCCACUUUGAAGUUAUAAGCAUACAAUUUAAACAGUGACCUGUUAAUUUGUUUAAACAACAAUAAUAAUUAUGUUUUUCCAGAAUAAAAAUUAAAUCAUCUGUUGAAGAUACUACUAAAAAUACUUCAC